ACACAUUCUAGAGCCUAAUUCAUUUUAAUUAACAAUCAAAAUUACAUUCAAAUCCAAAUUUUAAGUACUAAUGCUAGAACUUAUCCUAAAAUAAAUUUAUUGUAAUCCAUCUCUACUUUAAUAAGCUGCACCUUGAUCUGAUUUCUUACAUAAUUAUAUAUCCAAAUUAUAUAUUUCAAAAAAUAAUUAACAACGACGAUAUACAAGCAUAAUUAAAGUCUCAUUAAUCGUGGAUUAUCGAUUACAGGACAGAUUCCCCUGAUUGGAAUAAAAAACCGCCAAAUUUUUUGAUUUUAAAGAGCAUAACUUGUAUUCAUCAGGUUUAAUUUUCAACAUCUAGAAUAAUGGGGUAUCUAAUCCCAGUCUAAUCUCUAGGUCUCUUAACUUCAUAAUCAACUAAUCAAUUACAGAAAAAAUAGGAUUUCACCCAAUAUUCUACUAAAAUAAAAAUUAAUUUUUAUUAACUAAUUAUCACCGAAAAAAAAUAGUAGCAUCAUUUGUUUAACCGCA
rnacentral:rRNA from 1 species